CCAUGCGACAGAGUCGAUUUCAUCCCUAGCCGAUUUGUACAGCUCCAACCUCUUCCAGCAUUGCUGCCUACGCUCAAGCAUCGCUGGGUCCUCAUCCAAUUAACUACUACUACUAGUUAAUUAGUACCUCUUUCUUCCCGAUGUGCACGUAGAAAUGGUUAAGCAGAGACCUCUUGGCUUCUCGGACCUGACAGUGCACCACCGCCUUUGGGAUCUUGUGUAACAGUUGGUCUCCCACCAUCUUUAUGUACUGGGACACAUUGGACGCGAUAUUCCUGUAGUGCCCGUCGCCGUAGCGGUCCACUGUCACUGAGCCUGAGCCUGAGCCAUUGGAUUCAUUGGUAUUAUUCCCAACCUUGCUGCCACUAUCUGGAUCUUGCGGGAGUUUCCGGAAGAAUUCCACUGUCAAAUAUGCCUCCAUGUCAACAAGCCGAAGUGCAGUGCUACGUCCAUCCUCCCGAAACCUUUCCAGAGCUUCAUUAGCAGCAGUUGCAAUCGCAGCUUGCAGGGUAGGGAAUCUUCUCAGUGGCUGCAAUUACACAGAUGUAUAUAUAGAAAGUCAGCUACCGCAUCGACUGUAGCUUCAGCUGGUCCCUUGAAAUACGCAAGGCCGGCUUCAACAAGACGACGGUAACCUUGUUCAGGAGCAAUAAGAUGAGGCUGAUAGCCAUCUGCUUCUGAUACCACCUUCUUCACAUUUUGCACGGAUAGAUAACGAUCAAAAGGCAGCUUCCUAAAAGCGGCAGGGAGCUUAUGAUCAAACACGCCAUAAAUUUUAUCACCACCUGAUCUCCUGCAACAAUGUUCCUUGAAAACACGGUCAAAAGCACGACAGAGCUCCAAUAUAGUGUACAGUUGAGCCUGGCACAACAUUAUGGAAGCGCCACUUCUUUCCCAAUGGUAUCCAGCUCCGAUUCAAGUUCAUCUAUAGUUUUGUUGAUUAAUGAUGUGAUGCUAGGAAUGCGUGCUUUAAUAACGGCUUCAAGAUGCUGAAAAUCUUAGCUAGAUACACAGAACCCAUCUUACUGGCUAGGUGUGCAUAAUCAGGACUAUUUUCAAAAUACUCUCUUUCCUUUUCUCUUGCAACAAUCAUAUCAACUUUCCUGUUAAUAUCUGCUUGUGAGCGGUUGACAAUUCCAACCCACGGAUACUGAAGACGAUAGGCUCUUCCCUCAAGUACAUCAAGAGCGUUUGUUCCCUUGUCCAUCAAGUCCAACUUUGUCAACACACCGAAUGUCCUCUCACCUUUACCUGAUGGGUCAACCUCCUUCGAAAGCUUAAUGGCAUCAGAAGUGGCAAUGUCCUGGUUUGCUGGAGAUAUAGCCAAAAUGAUACAAUUGGGCUGCAAAAUAUCAUACAAAGUAACCUAUUAGCCUUGUAUAAGACAUAAUAGUGCAUACCUACAGCGACUUUUGUCAAUCCAGGAAGAUCAAUCAAUGUUAAGUUACCGUUGGGUGAGUAGAUGCUGAGAUGUAUUGGCACAGGGGAUAUUUGUUUAGUUUUCCCAGUCACUCUAUCUGUCUCAUCUGCAAUUUCUUGACGAACAAGAGCUACACCACAGUAGAGAAAAAUAAGUGGUGCUUGUAAGAACUCUGCAUAAUCGUGGGCCCCUUUGUCGAUCUGAUGCAGCUGAAGAACUAAUGGCCUCCGUUAUUAUAAUUACCAGAACCACGGGGAAGGAAAUCUCUGCCAACAAUGCUCUCUAGCACGGAGGACUUGCCCGAACUCUGGCCUCCGACGACGGCGAUGGUGGGGAGAGACUCCCAGAGGGUAGGGAGGUUGGCUCCUUCUCCACCUCCGUGGUCUCCGAGGGCGGUGCAGGCUCGCUGGAUGCGGUUCAUCAGGCCGAUCAGACCCUCCAUGCUCGCCAUCGC
rnacentral:sRNA from 1 species